UCCUGAAGGUGGUGUUUUCGGAGGAGGAGCUGAAAGGCAAGAGCCUCCGGGGAAGGAAGUGCAAUGCGCAGAAGGAGAGUGAAGUGAAGCCGGCCCUCGAUCCAGUAAAACUCCAAGCUGUCCUCGGAGUACAAGGGGGUCGCCCUCUUGACUCUCACCACGAGCCUUUCAACACUGUUGUGCAGGGACAUGAAAUAGGCUACAGACACAAGCAUGCGGCGGGACCAGCAAAGUGCAAUUUAAG